AAACAGUCAGAGCACUGCUUCCCGGCGGAGGAGGAGGUGGCCCCUUCGGCAGCAACUGAUGUGGCCGCGACGGUGGGGAUGUGCGGGGGUCCUUGGGCUUGCGUUUGGAGAUGCUACAUCCGCCUUUGCGUGCAGCAACCCGGCAGCGAGAACAAGAAUCCCCGGGCUUGGCUAUCUGGGCUCUCCCCUUCUCGGAGUACGCCCAACAUUCCUCACCGUUCUCUUGACAGGCAGCACACCUGUCCUCCCCCAGCAGCUGCUCACCCAGCUCCGUCUCCAUUAUCCGGCCAAUAUGGCCCCAUACCCUCUGCUUCUGAGGAGAGAAGCACUGGAACUCCUCAUGGG
rnacentral:sRNA from 2 species